UUCAUGGAGAGUUUGAUCCUGGCUCAGGACGAACGCUGGCGGCGUGCCUAAUACAUGCAAGUCGAGCGGACCGACGGGAGCUUGCUCCCUUAGGUCAGCGGCGGACGGGUGAGUAACACGUGGGUAACCUGCCUGUAAGACUGGGAUAACUCCGGGAAACCGGGGCUAAUACCGGAUGCUUGAUUGAACCGCAUGGUUCAAUUAUAAAAGGUGGCUUUUAGCUACCACUUACAGAUGGACCCGCGGCGCAUUACCUAGUUGGUGAGGUAACGGCUCACCAAGGCAACGAUGCGUAGCCGACCUGAGAGGGUG
rnacentral:rRNA from 1 species